GAUGAAGAACGCAGCUAAAUGCGAUAAGUAAUGUGAAUUGCAGAAUUCAGUGAAUCAUCGAAUCUUUGAACGCACAUUGCGCCCGCCAGUAUUCUGGCGGGCAUGCCUGUCUGAGCGUCAUUUCAACCCUCAUGCCCCUAGGGCGUGGUGUUGGGGAUCGGCCAAAGCCCGCGAGGGACGGCCGGCCCCUAAAUCUAGUGGCGGACCCGUCGUGGCCUCCUCUGCGAAGUAGUGAUAUUCCGCAUCGGAGAGCGACGAGCCCCUGCCGUUAAACCCCCAACUUUCCAAGGUUGACCUCAGAUCAGGUAGGAAUACCCGCUGAACUUAAGCAUAUCAAUAAGCGGAGGA
rnacentral:misc_RNA from 1 species